rnacentral:lncRNA from 1 species
CAAAAUGAACAUCCGGAGACUUGGCAGUAAUUGGAUCACGGAGUGCAAGCUCCUGUGAUUAGAUCAGGAGUAUUCUGUCAGGAUGACAGUAAAUCAAAAGAAAUAAUCAGGCAGCUAGGAAAGGGAGAAGUUCUUCAUUUAAACUUCGUUAAUUUCCUGUCUGCGUGGCCGAGCCUACAAAAUACACACUUAAAGAUGCAGUGAGUUACUUCUAGUGAGCACAGGCUGCUGCUGCAGCAAGAAAAUCCUCCAUAAUCCGCCCCAAGUGAAGAAGCAAAGUUUGUGCUCCAAUUUUCUCCGAUAUGCCUUGUCUAAAGAAAAUAUUUGGCUACCUGCUGUAUUUUCUGGUUGGGUUGGCAGAUUGCUGCUCCACUUUCCAGGGCUCCUGGGUCAGCUGAGGUCCCCACUGCUGGAUCAAGCAGUGCCAUCCCAAGGCGAGAAGCCCAGAGAGGGUGAGAAGGAGAUGAUGGUCGUAAUGAUGACCAUAUGGACAGCUGAUGUGAGGAGCUAGGUGGAGAUGCGGUCGUAUUAUCUUUAUACUGGCUAAUCUAAGGUUGCUCAGGAAUGUUUGAGAGGUCUCCAGCUUGUGUUCUGCUAGGUAGAAGGCUUUCAGCUUAAUGAUUGGGAGUUUUCUCACAGAACCAUAGAAUGGUUUGAGCUGGAAGGGAUCCUUCAAGGCCAUCUGUCCCACUCCCUGCACUGAGCAGGGACACCCACAGCUCCAUCAGUGCUCACAGCCCAUCCAGCCUGACCUUGGCUGUCUGCAGGGAUGGGACAUCACACCUCUCUGUGCAACAUGUUCCAAAACCUAUUUUGUCUACCAAUAAAGCCACACUCUUCCUUCAUGAAAAGGAUUUUACUAGCAAGCACUGGGCAUCCACAGCCCUGCUUGGCUGAAGCUGAGGUCAAUUCUUGCCAACAAUCACUUCUCUGAUGGCACUGUUCAGGGCACAGAUGAGGAAACCAGAGGGAGUGACAUUACUAAGCAAGGGAGAAGGUUGGGAAGACAGAGAGGACUGCAUACAUCUUCAGUGCUCACUUCUCUGUAGACCUUCAUGGCAACUUAACAGCACCUUACAAAGUCAGUCAAGACCCAUAGCCUUUAUGGUUCUACGAUUCUACGAUCAGCAAUAG